GCAGUAUAUGGAUACUCCAUACUCGAUAUGGAUGGACCCUUGAGUCAGCCUAAGUCACUGCAUUUCUAAUGAAUUUAGAAAAGACAUUUAAACACUUCACAGAUUUCUCCUGGGAACCUAUGGGCCAAUAACUGGCUCAGCAGAGGAUGCUGAAAAGACCUUUACCGCAGGAGCGCUGGGAGCAUCAUCUUGCCAGGUUUCUCCAAGAUGACAAGGUCACCAGAUUAAGUGCAGCAGGCUUUUCUGGCAUUUGGCUCCAGGAUUCUGCUGACUUUGCUCUUCAUGCUGAGGAAUCCUUCAGACUUGUUUAAUAGGUUGUCAGCUUUCUGCUUCUCCAGCCAGCCCCACGUGCAUUCCUCAUGCAAAUUGGUGCAACCUCCAACAGAAAUUACAACGUCAAAGCAUUCACAGAGCUCAGUACAAAGCCACCAGUCAGGGGUUCCUCGUGAUUUUGAAACAUCCCAGUUUCUGAAAAGCUAGUUUGAGUUUACACAGUAUUGAGCAAAACAUUAAACAUUCUGCCCUUGGGUCUGUUAUGUCAGAAGCAAACACAGAUGUGAAUACUGUGAUACAUCUCUGCAUUUCUCCUCACAGCUCAUGUUUUGGAUUCCUUAUCUGCAGCAGUAAGCAGUUCUCAAUUAACUCCUCCUGCUGUUUGUGAGAAAAAUGUAUAACAAGCCUGGAUCCCACUGGUCAUACGGGAUUAUUUCAAGAGUUUACAUUACAAUUGCUUCUGAACUGUUUCUCCAGUCAUUGAACACUGCUGGACAAAGAUGUCGGGAAAAGCAAAUCCCUGGUCUUCCUGAACAAUUCCUUCUUCAGACACACAGCCACAAGGGUUCAAAGGUCCCUGCGGCCUUUGUUCUCAGUUCCAGAGUAGUUACAAACAAACUUUUGUUCCUGUUUCUUCAAUGAAAUAAGCUGCAGCAGUUACCAAUGACUGAACUUUACAUCUGAAGCUUGCUUUGUCCAUCAUGCAACAGGAGGACUACAGAAUCUCAUUUACACUUCCAAAAAUAAGUUAUCAGAACUUUUGCUGAAAUAAAAAUCAACUACUCCUUACUGAUUCA
rnacentral:lncRNA from 1 species